CUGCGAGUGAAGCGGGAAAAGCUCAAAUUUAAAAUCUGGCGGUCUCUGGCCGUCCGAGUUGUAAUCUAGAGAAGUGUUACCCGCGCUGGACCGUGUACAAGUCCCCUGGAAUGGGGCGUCAUAGAGGGUGAGAAUCCCGUCUCUGACACGGACUACCAGGGCUUUGUGGUAUGCUCUCAAAGAGUCGAGUUGUUUGGGAAUGCAGCUCAAAAUGGGUGGUAAAUUCCAUCUAAAGCUAAAUAUUGGCGAGAGACCGAUAGCGAACAAGUACCGUGAGGGAAAGAUGAAAAGAACUUUGGAAAGAGAGUUAAACAGUACGUGAAAUUGCUGAAAGGGAAACGCUUGAAGUCAGUCGCGUUGGCCGGGAAUCAGCCUCGCUUUUGUGUGGUGUACUUUCUGGUUGACGGGUCAGCAUCAAUUUUGACUGCUGGAAAAAGGCUUGGGGAAUGUGGCAGCUCCGGCUGUGUUAUAGCCCCUUGUCACAUACAGCGGUUGGGAUUGAGGAACUCAGCACGCCGCAAGGCCGGGUUUCGACCACGUUCGUGCUUAGGAUGCUGGCAUAAUGGCUUUAAGCGACCCGUCUUGAAACACGGACCAAGGAGUCUAACAUGCCUGCGAGUGUUUGGGUGGAAAACCCGAGCGCGUAAUGAAAGUGAAAGUUGAGAUCCCUGUCGUGGGGAGCAUCGACGCCCGGACCAGAACUUUUGGGACGGAUCCGCGGUAGAGCAUGUAUGUUGGGACCCGAAAGAUGGUGAACUAUGCCUGAAUAGGGUGAAGCCAGAGGAAACUCUGGUGGAGGCUCGUAGCGAUUCUGACGUGCAAAUCGAUCGUCAAAUUUGGGUAUAGGG
rnacentral:rRNA from 1 species